UUGAGGAUCUGCCAGAGGUAA
rnacentral:piRNA from 1 species